rnacentral:tRNA from 1 species
CAAUAGAUGACUGAAAGCAAAGUAAUGGUCUCUUAAACCAAAACAUGGUAUAAAAUUACCUCUAUUGA